rnacentral:lncRNA from 1 species
UGAGUCGGCAAGGGCUAGGCUGACUGUGUGCGCGUGAGCAUGUGUGUGCAGAGUCGGCAAGGGCUAGGCUGACUGCGAGUGAGCAUGUGUGUGCAGAGUUGGCAAGGGCUAGGCUGACUGUGUGCGCGUGAGCAUGUGUGUGCAGGUGUCUUCAGGAUAGCUGGAGGUCUAGACAGUGAUGAUGCCCUUCUUCCCCAUUCUCUGCAGUGCUGGUCCACAGGCCGAAUCACCCACAUCCCUCUGUACUUUGUCAACGCCCAAUUUCCACGCUUUAGCCCAGUGCUUGGUCGGGCCCAGGAGCCCCCAGCUGGAGGUGGAGGCUCUGUUCAUGAAGUACCACUAUUUACUGAGACAUCACCAACCUCUGCCCCUUGGGACCCUCUUCCAGGACUACCAUCUGCUCAACCCCACUCCCCUCACUCCCACUUGUAAAUAAAGUUUUUCUUGUUUCCACUCAUUU